UACGAGGGGGGCAAGCGUUGUUCGGAUUUAUUGGGCGUAAAGGGUGCGUAGGCGGUUUGGCAAGUCUUGUGUGAAAUCUUUGGGCUCAACCCAAAGUCUGCAUAAGAAACUGCCGGGCUUGAGUAUGGGAGAGGUGAGUGGAAUUUCCGGUGUAGCGGUGAAAUGCGUAGAUAUCGGAAGGAACACCUGUGGCGAAAGCGGCUCACUGGACCAUUACUGACGCUGAGGCA
rnacentral:rRNA from 1 species